UAUCACCCGUGCCGCCCGCCAUCUUGUCUUAGUGUCUCGUUUGCGUCGACGGCGUCGAGGUUACUGUUAUCAUCUGUAGGCGGGAGCCAGAGCACAAGGGUCUUUUGUCUGUGUUAGACUCCGUAGUUUGGUCCGAGCCUUCCGGUGCUUUCCCGGGGCAGCCAGCAAAAGCCGAAGCGGCCACCCCUGCCCCACCCCUCAGUUCCCGGACUCGGGAGGGAACGAGCUCGCGUCACGCCCCUCAGCGUUCGCCUUUCCCUUCUCUGUCGUUGCAUCUGCAUCGUAUCCCCGGAAUCAGACGGUUCCCCAUAGAUGGCCAGCUUUCCCCCGAGGGUCAACGAGAAAGAGAUCGUGAGAUCCCGUACUAUAGGUGAACUUUUAGCUCCAGCAGCUCCUUUUGACAAGAAAUGUGGUCGUGAAAAUUGGACUGUUGCUUUUGCUCCAGAUGGUUCAUAUUUUGCUUGGUCACAAGGACAUCGUACAGUAAAGCUUGUUCCGUGGUCCCAGAGCCUUAAAAACUUUCUCUUGCAUGGCACCAAGAAUGUUAUUAAUUCAAGCAGUUUAAGAUUGCCAAGACAAAAUAGUGAUGGUGGUCAGAAAAAUAAGCCUCGUGAACAUAUUAUAGAUUGUGGAGAUAUAGUCUGGAGUCUUGCUUUUGGGUCUUCAGUUCCAGAAAAACAGAGCCGCUGUGUAAAUAUAGAAUGGCAUCGAUUCAAAUUUGGACAAGAUCAGCUACUCCUUGCAACAGGAUUAAACAAUGGUCGUAUCAAAAUAUGGGAUGUAUAUACAGGAAAACUCCUCCUUAAUUUGGUAGAUCAUACUGAAGUGGUCAGAGAUUUAACUUUUGCUCCAGAUGGGAGCUUGAUCCUAGUGUCAGCUUCAAGAGAUAAAACUCUUCGAGUGUGGGACCUGAAAGAUGAUGGAAACAUGAUGAAAGUAUUGAGAGGACAUCAGAACUGGGUGUACAGCUGUGCAUUCUCUCCUGACUCUUCUAUGCUGUGUUCAGUUGGAGCCAGUAAAGCAGUGGUGGCAGCAAUAUUGGUGUGAUUGAGGUUAUGCUGGCACCACUCGCACACAGGCGCACAAUGGUGUUAGCUGGGCAGAAAGAGUGGCAUCUCUGGCUACCGGGCUGGGGGCGACCUUUACCAUAGGAUGAAGUAACCUUGCAUUCGGCUGCAAGGUGUACUGUACGUACACAGGUGCUGGUCGAUGUCCACUUUCUGCUUUUCUUUCUUUCUUUUUUUUUUUUUUUUUAAAGUAAUCUUCCCCACAGUGAAAUUUACUGACUCCUUUGAGUAAAUUGAUCUUCCAGUAUGGUAGAAAGAGGAGUCUUGACAAGUGAAACCAACUUAAUGUAAAGUAAUUGGCUUUCGGAUGGUUUCUCUGCUAUUUUUUUUGGAAUUCUUUAAGAUGCUAGAGAUAACCUUAAGUAUUUAAUGCAAUUUAAAAUUGUACUUACUUUCCUUUGGAAUAAUGUCUUUUGUCUGUGCAGAAAAAAAGUAGUAAAAAGGAUUGCUUUACUCCAAAAGGAGGAGAGAUUGUCUUAUUAGGAUGUUAUAAAAUCUCCAAACUUAUGCUUAAUAUGACAAGCUGAAGUAAAUAUUAGAAUCCAAUUUAGAGCUAUUCUGCACAGUCUAACUACUGAUGUUUAAAAUCUAAAGUGUAUGUGAACUUGUUCUUAAGUAAUUUAACUGUUUUAUAUUGAAAAUGACUAAUGAUAUUAGUCCAUUUGGGAAAAGUAAGAUUGGUAAAUCUUAAUUCACACAAUUGUUGUAAUUGUAUUAUUUUCAUAAAAUAGCAUUUUCAUGUUGUAAUGUGGUUUAACAUUCUUGUUGUUUGCCAAAGAAAUUUCAUUUGGCUUUGAAAAUUCUCUUUGCUUGCAGUAUCUGUUUCUCUUCCUAGGCUCACGUUGGUGACCCAAGCCUAUUGUAAACAAGUGAUUAUCUCAAAGGGAGAUGCCAAUGGAGUAACAAUUUGUUAACCUUUACGUUUUCUGUCUGUAUAUUUUUUUAAAAUUUGGUAGUUUCUGGAAAAAAAAAAUAAAAGAAAAGGGUUGGUAGUAUUUAACCCUAUUUAUUUCUGUAUAUUUUAGUUAAUUUUUUAAAUAAGUGAAUUUCAGUAACUUUGUGGUUAAAUUGCAUUGCCUUUAUUUUUAUGCUUAGGCUUAUUUUUUAAAUUAACAUUUAACAGAAACAUUUGAAAUAGAAUUUUGCAUGUCUGCUUUAAUUAACUUAAAGAUUGAUUUUUUUAAUCUAUGACACUGAGCAUAUUCUUUAAAUUACUCAUAAUUUAUAAUGUUUAAUAUAAUUAAAUUUAGCAGUUUUAGUUUAAGAUGUAUCAUUUUGUCCUCUGUGUGUCUGAAUGAAGCUAUAAUAUUUGUCUUUUUAUUGCAGGUUUUCCUUUGGAAUAUGGAUAAAUAUACCAUGAUUCGGAAACUAGAAGGACAUCACCAUGAUGUUGUAGCUUGUGACUUUUCUCCUGAUGGAGCAUUACUGGCUACUGCAUCUUAUGAUACUCGAGUAUAUAUCUGGGAUCCACAUAAGGGAGACAUUCUGAUGGAAUUUGGGCACCUGUUUCCCCCACCUACUCCAAUAUUUGCCGGAGGAGCAAAUGACCGAUGGGUACGAGCUGUAUCUUUUAGUCAUGAUGGACUGCACAUUGCAAGCCUUGCUGAUGAUAAAAUGGUGAGAUUCUGGAGAAUUGAUGAGGAUUAUCCAGUACAGAUCGCACCUUUGAGCAAUGGUCUUUGCUGUGCCUUUUCUACUGAUGGCAGUGUUUUAGCUGCUGGGACACAAGAUGGAAGUGUAUAUUUUUGGGCUACACCAAGGCAAGUUCCUAGCCUUCAACAUUUAUGUCGAAUGUCAAUCCGAAGAGUGAUGUCCACCCAAGAAGUCCAGGAGCUUCCAAUUCCUUCCAAACUUUUGGAGUUUCUUUCCUAUCGUAUUUAGAUGACUGUUUUUCCUACUACUAGAAAUUGACAGAAUAUACUUUACAAACCUCAAGCUUUAGUGACUUCAAAUAUGUUUUUAAAGGUUUGAAAGAAUUAUUUAAUUUGAUACAUUAUGUGCUACAUUUUCAUCAUUUGAGCUUCUAAAAUAUUAUUUAUAGACUGUAGGAGAAAUUCUGAACAUACAUGUAAAUUUUUUAAGAUUAACUGUGAAAACAUAUACAUACAUGUAUAUAUUUAGAUAUAAGCUGCUAUGUGUUAAAUGGACCCUUCCUUUGCUUUUUUAAUUUUUAGCUCAGACCUGUAUAUAUUGCUUCCAUAGAACUACAAAAGUAUUUUUGCUGUAGAGAGCUUUUUUUUUUAAUUUGGGGAUACUGAGUUAGAUGAUAAAUAUUGAGUAUUGAGGCUGAAUUGCCUCAGACACAAUGAAUUUGGUUGGAGAGUGUGUAUUUCAGACUGACCUACAAGUGAAACAGUUUUUGUGUAUGGAAAAGGAUUUUGUUUUCUUUAGGGAUGGUAUCUGAGAGGAGGAGUUUGAAUGUGACACUAUUAAAAAAGAAGAAGAAAGAAAAAAACAGAGUAUAACUUAAAAGUGUAUCUUUUUCUUGCCUAAAUACUACUGUGAGCCUUAAUGUAAAAAACAGCUUGCCACCUCACCCCUGUGCUAUAAAGUAUUAUACAUUGUAGUCAAUUUGAAAUAUCCCUCUACUGUAUUAUUGGUAGAUAUUUUGUUUGUAUUAAGGGACAACUAUUUUAAGACCUUUUUUUUUUUUUUUUUAAUAAUGUUCUGUGUUUCUGCAGAGGAUAUAAUAUUGGUGACUUGCCAAAGAGAAGCAAUAUCUGCUUUUACCUUCUGGUAUUUAUCUUAUCUGCAGAUAAUUAGAAUGUAUGCAUUAUAUAAAAUGCUUGAUUAUA